rnacentral:rRNA from 1 species
UACGUAGGGUGCAAGCGUUGUCCGGAAUUAUUGGGCGUAAAGAGCGUGUAGGCGGCCCGAUUAGUCCGUUGUGAAAACUCGAGGCUCAACCUCGAGACGCCGGUGGAAACCGUAAAGCUAGAGUCCGGAAGAGGAGAGUGGAAUUCCUGGUGUAGCGGUGAAAUGCGCAGAUAUCAGGAAGAACACCCGUGGCGAAGGCGGCUCUCUGGGACGGUACUGACGCUGAGACGCGAAAGCGUGGGGAGCGAACAGG